AACGAACGCUGGCGGCAGGCCUAACACAUGCAAGUCGAACGAGAAACCACCCUUCGGGGUAGGAGUAGAGUGGCGCACGGGUGAGUAACGCGUGGGAACCUACCUCAGGGUACGGAAUAACCCAGGGAAACUUGGGCUAAUACCGUAUACGCCUUACGGGGGAAAGAUUUAUCGCCCUGGGAUGGGCCCGCGUCGGAUUAGCUUGUUGGUGAGGUAACGGCUCACCAAGGCGACGAUCCGUAGCUGGUCUGAGAGGAUGAUCAGCCACACUGGAACUGAGACACGGUCCAGACUCCUACGGGAGGCAGCAGUGGGGAAUAUUAGGCAAUGGGGGAAACCCUGACCUAGCCAUGCCGCGUGGGUGAAGAAGGUCUUAGGAUUGUAAAGCCCUUUCAGCGGGGAAGAUGAUGACGGUACCCGCAGAAGAAGCCCCGGCUAACUCCGUGCCAGCAGCCGCGGUAAUACGGAGGGGGCUAGCGUUGUUCGGAUUCACUGGGCGUAAAGGGUGCGUAGGCGGUCGGCUAAGUCUGAUGUGAAAUCUUCGAGCCCAACUCGAAAACUGCAUCGGAUACUAAUUGGC
rnacentral:rRNA from 1 species